AUUGCACUUGGAAGCAUUUUCAAGUAGGAAUCCUUUGUGGCCUGCGAACAGCAGCUUCUUUUCACCAAGGCUGUGGAAUUUUCAGAGGCUACUUGUUUUUUAGUUGUGAGCUACUACAUUUUUAACUUAGCUUAUACUGACCCUGUCACGACAACACUGGAAUUUCUUCAGAGGGAGAUGUUCAACGUAAACCCGGAAAGGGGCAGUAACUUGUCUAAUGGCCGCAAAUCAAGGACCACUGUGGACAACGGGAUAAUGAUGUUUGUGCAGCAGUUGCGCUGAAGAACUGAUGUUGUAAACCAUAAGACAUGGUGCGAUUGGCAAAAUAAAUUUCACCUGUAUAUGUUCAGAAUGGCUG